rnacentral:lncRNA from 1 species
AAAAAAACAAAGUAAGCACCUUGGCCAGGCAUGAGCCUGUACUGCACCCGGACCAUCAACUUUAUUAGAUAAACAAUUUUGUCCCGUCUCUAUCCUACCUACAACUGGGACCUGAAGCUCAGGGGUGGCAGAGGUCUCAGUGACCUUCUAGCACCAGCACACAAAACGAGCUAGUGUCAAAAGAAGGACCAGUGUGCAGGCCUUUGAUACCCCAGCCAGGACUCAAGCUCUGUGCUUUGGUGAUGGUGGUGUCAAUGGGCAGGUGAAACAGUCAUAGCUGAGCUUUAGGAAGAUUGAUAAUGUGUUUGGCGUGGAUGGAUGUAUUCAUCACGUUUUUUAUUUUCUGUAUUUCCUGAUACUUUGACAUCUUGGGGCCUUAACUGACCCUUGAAGAGACUGCCCUCCCAGGUCCAGCCAAUUCCUGAAGAUAGUAAACCCUGGCCUGCAAGUGCACCUUUCAUGUGCAAGCCGACACACCCAAAGCCUACACCCCAACAAUCUCUAUGGAGCCCUCAUGCUCCAGGCCACCAUCCCCUGCCCCCAACCACCCCAGGGCCAGGUCCCAGACAACCAGGGACAUACCCCAUGCCCCACAGCCACCAAAUCACUCAAGCUGAUCCCAAGCCCGCCUUCCCUACCUGCCUUCCUGUAAAAACCAGAAUAAAGUUGUUUUUUUUAAAAAAGACAGCCUCGCUCUGUUGCCCAGGCUAGAGUGCAGCGACCCAAUCUCAGCUCACUGCAACCUCCACCUCCCAGGUUCAUGCGAUUCUCCCGCCUCAGCCUCCCAAAUAGCUGGGAUUACAGGUGCCCACCACCACUCCUGGCUAAUUUUUGUAUUUUUAGUAGAGAUGGGGUUUCACCAUGUUAGCCAAGCUGGUCUCGAACUCGUGACCUCAAGUGAUUCAUCCACCUCGGCCUUCCUAAGUGCUGGGAUUACAGGGAUGAGCCACCGCACCCGGCCCAGAAUAAAGGCUUUUGCUCACACUUUCCUGGCUCCCUUUGCCUUCUGAUAGACCCUGGUGCUUCCUUGUGUGGACUCCUGCUUCUAGGGACCCGUGAGUAUCAGGCUUCUUCCUUCAUGACAGUCAUUUCUGUGUCUGCAUGUCUCACUCAGCAUAUGUGAUUAAAUAAAAUGCUGGCUACAUGUGAAAGCAGUGGAGAUGGGUAGGUGGUGGGGGAGCUGACUCAGAAGCCGCCCUGUUGCAGGCACUUAGCAAAUGUGCAGAGGAGAAGGAAGGAUGCUCUGGGGCGGGAGCAGCAGCAGGACACAAGGUGCCUUCUGCUUUGGAGGACUCUGAAGCGAGAGGUGUUGAGGAGGUUCCAGGACAAGCCACAGUGGGGAGAGUUGCUAGAAAGGCUGCUGACAGGGCCGCUGUGUGUGCCCAUGCAUUUUGUGUGUUCCACAAAGAGAUCUCAGACACAGCCUGUGCUCUACUCACUACAACAUCAGCCCGUGGAGUUGAGCCACCUUCUCACCUGCCCCAAGCGGUGUCACUGCGCAUCCCCCUCCAGAGGGGGCACCUUGUCUAACACACAUGAAGGCACCACGUGUGCAGGCUCCUUGGUGACCAGCCAGCACCCUCUGGAGCCACACAUCACGACAGCUUCAGGAAUGUUGCGGGUCCACCCGCCCUCCCAGAUCCCUUGGCUUACCUUUAUUCCUCAGGAAUUUCAUGGGGUUCGUAGGGGAUGCAGCUAAAAGGCCAUCAAAGGGGAUCAAAAAGAAGAGACUUUAAGAUGGUUUAAGAUGAACUUGGGAAAACAAGGAAAUAACUUAGCAUUAGAGAAGGACGCCGAACACACAGCUUCCAAAUAUCUAAGAUGGGAUGUGUUAAUACAUUCCUCCCAAUGCCUGGCAGCAAUGUGUGGGUUAAUUUGCAGAAGCCUGGUGAGCCUGCUGUUCUUUUUGCACCUGGUGCUUCCUGUCAUGAAGAAUGACCUUUAGGAACAGGAUACUUUUGGUUUCUGGUCUCCUUUUGCAGUCAUACAAGUUGGGAAAUCUCUGCCCAAAUUAAGGACCUGGAGAGACUUAGAGUUGAAGGGGCUACGACCUCAUUAGAAGGUCAGCAAGGGUUGGGCACAGUGGCUCAUGCCUGUAAUCCCAGCGAGGAAGGCAGAUCACGAGGUCAGGAGUUCGAGACCAGCCUGACCAACAUGGUGAAACCCCGUCUCUACUGAAAAUACAAAAAUUAGCUGGGCAUGGUGGCACGCGCCUGUAGUCCCAGCUACUCAGGAGGCUGAGGCAGGAGAAUUGCUUGAACCCGGCGGUGGAGGUUGUGGUGAGCCGAGAUUGCGCCACUGCACUCCAGCUGGGUGACAGAGUGAGACUCCGUCUCAAAAAAAAAAAAAAAAAAAAAAAAAAAAAAAAAAAAAAAAGGAUCAGAGAGCCAGGCAGAGAGGCCAGGGAACCAACAAUAGUGUCCUUUCCUCGGACACAAAUUACAUGCAAAUGUAUCACACAGACAGCAUUUCCCUUGCAUGGAAUGGAGAUUAUUUACAAGCAUCAUAUAUCUCCACAAAGGGUUGCUGAGCUUCAAAGAUUGUCGGGGUUGGUUUUGCUGUUAUAAGAUAAACAAACAUCCUCUAGUACUCAAAUUAGAAGGGAACCAUAGAAAAUGCUUAUAAAGAAUUCUCGGCUGGGCAUGGUGGCUCAUGCCUGUAAUCCCAGCACUUUGAGAGGCCGAGGCGGGCGGAUCAUGAGGUCAGGAGAUCA